UGCAGUCGAACGCUUUUUCUUUCACCGGAGCUUGCUCCACCGAAAGAAAAAGAGUGGCGAACGGGUGAGUAACACGUGGGUAACCUGCCCAUCAGAAGGGGAUAACACUUGGAAACAGGUGCUAAUACCGUAUAACACUAUUUUCCGCAUGGAAGAAAGUUGAAAGGCGCUUUUGCGUCACUGAUGGAUGGACCCGCGGUGCAUUAGCUAGUUGGUGAGGUAACGGCUCACCAAGGCAACGAUGCAUAGCCGACCUGAGAGGGUGAUCGGCCACACUGGGACUGAGACACGGCCCAGACUCCUACGGGAGGCAGCAGUAGGGAAUCUUCGGCAAUGGACGAAAGUCUGACCGAGCAACGCCGCGUGAGUGAAGAAGGUUUUCGGAUCGUAAAACUCUGUUGUUAGAGAAGAACAAGGAUGAGAGUAAAAUGUUCAUCCCUUGACGGUAUCUAACCAGAAAGCCACGGCUAACUACGUGCCAGCAGCCGCGGUAAUACGUAGGUGGCAAGCGUUGUCCGGAUUUAUUGGGCGUAAAGCGAGCGCAGGCGGUUUCUUAAGUCUGAUGUGAAAGCCCCCGGCUCAACCGGGGAGGGUCAUUGGAAACUGGGAGACUUGAGUGCAGAAGAGGAGAGUGGAAUUCCAUGUGUAGCGGUGAAAUGCGUAGAUAUAUGGAGGAACACCAGUGGCGAAGGCGGCUCUCUGGUCUGUAACUGACGCUGAGGCUCGAAAGCGUGGGGAGCGAACAGGAUUAGAUACCCUGGUAGUCCACGCCGUAAACGAUGAGUGCUAAGUGUUGGAGGGUUUCCGCCCUUCAGUGCUGCAGCAAACGCAUUAAGCACUCCGCCUGGGGAGUACGACCGCAAGGUUGAAACUCAAAGGAAUUGACGGGGGCCCGCACAAGCGGUGGAGCAUGUGGUUUAAUUCGAAGCAACGCGAAGAACCUUACCAGGUCUUGACAUCCUUUGACCACUCUAGAGAUAGAGCUUCCCCUUCGGGGGCAAAGUGACAGGUGGUGCAUGGUUGUCGUCAGCUCGUGUCGUGAGAUGUUGGGUUAAGUCCCGCAACGAGCGCAACCC
rnacentral:rRNA from 1 species